AUACGGAGGGUGCAAGCGUUAUCCGGAAUCAUUGGGUUUAAAGGGUCCGUAGGCGGGCGAUUAAGUCAGAGGUGAAAUCCCACAGCUCAACUGUGGAACUGCCUUUGAUACUGGUUGUCUUGAGUUACAGUGAAGUAGAUAGAAUGUGUAGUGUAGCGGUGAAAUGCAUAGAUAUUACACAGAAUACCGAUUGCGAAGGCAGUCUACUAACUGUAUACUGACGCUAAUGGACGAAAGCGUGGGGAGCGGACAGGAUUAGAAACCCUAGUAGUCC
rnacentral:rRNA from 1 species